AUUUGUAUAUCUUGACCAUCCCUCAUCCUUGAUUGCCGCAGAGAGCAUCAAAAAGAUGAAUCACGCACUCCGCACGUGCACAGAGUGUGGACUAUAAAAUACUGGGAGCGAUGGCCGCCUCUUCCUCGCUGUCCCCGACGGCCGCUUUCCUCCCUCUACCCAGUCGCGCAUCCCACUCUCCCAAGACGAAACCCCUCUUCGUCUCGCUCCACUGUGCAAACGCUGCCGUCUCCCUGCGCUUCCUCGCCCCUUUUCCGUCCCGCGUCCCCGCGGCCGCCGCGGAGCCGGAUACAACGGAGGCUUCGAUCGACUUCGAGGCGGAGGAGAAAUCUGCCGUUGCUGCCCCUUCUUCCCUCGAUAUUGAGGCGGAUGCUGAUAGGGUAGUCGAUCCUCGGCCUUUCUUUGCAUGGGUUUAAAGUUUAGUUGAUCAGAGAGUUCGUCACGGAAACAGCUUGAGGUGAGGCUGCGUACAUGGACCCUGCCCAUCCCAUAUUGGCGUAAGCCUUAUCCAAUGGAUACCAAAGUAGAAGAUAAGAAUCAAGCUGAGGUCCUACUGGGUGCCACUGA